CCUACGGGGUGCAGCAGUAGGGAAUAUUGCUCAAUGGGGGAAACCCUGAAGCAGCAACGCCGCGUGGAGGAUGAAGGUUUUCGGAUUGUAAACUCCUUUUGUUAGAGAAGAUAAUGACGGUAUCUAACGAAUAAGCACCGGCUAACUCCGUGCCAGCAGCCGCGGUAAUACGGAGGGUGCAAGCGUUACUCGGAAUCACUGGGCGUAAAGAGGGCGUAGGCGGGAUAGCAAGUCAGAUGUGAAAUCCUUUGGCUUAACCAUAGAACUGCAUUUGAAACUGUUAUUCUAGAGUAUGGGAGAGGUAGGUGGAAUUCUUGGUGUAGGGGUAAAAUCCGUAGAGAUCAAGAGGAAUACUCAUUGCGAAGGCGACCUGCUAGAACAUAACUGACGCUGAGGCGCGAAAGCGUGGGGAGCAAACAGGAUUAGAUACCCUAGUAGUC
rnacentral:rRNA from 1 species